GCCUGGACCCAACAUUCUUCCUCAUCACUGGUGGGUAGUCUCCAUGCACCAAUGGAUGCAUAUACCUGUGUCAUGAUUACAACAUCUUUAGCUCUAGUUACGCACACAUUCUAGCUGUCCUUGUUGAACUUGAAAUGUAGAAGAACGUACCAUCCAAUGUGGAAGUCAUUCAUCCUUGCAGCUGCUGUCAUAUCCUCAGGUGUUUGUGUUGCAGGCUCGAACCACCAGCAGAGCAAUGGACGCUGCUGAGGCAUGUGCAAGCAGAAGAUGGUGAGCUACUAUGUAGGGCUCAGUGGUAGAGUUGCCAUUGUCGCAACUGAUGCCGAAUGGGGAGGAGCAUCGCCGUGGUGGAAGGAAUCCUACAUCGUAUCCGCCAAUGGGCUCAAUGUUUGGCUCAUUCACGGUGCUCCAGUAUUUCACCCUGUCGCCAAAGUUCUUGAAGCACACAUCUGCAUACGCCGUGUAGUCAUCUCUGCAACCAUGUGACAAAAAAGGGGAAAAGAAGAAAUUACAUGAAUUUACGACUAAGCAUCCCAUGGUAUUCAUCUUGAAGAGCCUGAGGGAAGUCGAAAUGAUAUAUCGUUACGUGAGGCUGAAUUCCUACAUGAAACAGAGGAAGACGCACGAUUUAUCUCUGCACAGCUGGACAUUUGGAAAUCUUGUGAUUUCUUUCAUAAAUGAAGGAUUCAGUAUGCCAAGGAUCAAAUACCAUGACUAAGGAGUUCAUUGAUAAGGUUGUUGUAGUACUCCAGUCCUUUUGGAUUGACAGCUCCUCGGCCAUCUUCAUGGAUUGCAAACAGAAGUCAGAAUAAGCCGAGGCCAGGCAAUGGAAAAUCUAUAUGCGUCCACGCCCAUCUGGCUCAAAAGCUUUACAUCUUCCUGGUUGUUUAUCAGA